UGAAAGGGGCACGCCGGCGGGCAGCUGCGAGAAGGGUACCCCUAUUGUACUGCAAACCAAUUGUACAUAUAUAAGAGAUGUGCAUCAAACUUGGAGUUGUUGUUGUUGUAAAUUUAUAUAAAAAAAUACCAGCUGUUGAACUUGGUCAAUUUUACGCAGAAUAUUGCAUAUUGGGUACCCCAAUUGUACGGAUAACUCUUCAUAACUCUUCAUACAGUUUUUAAGAUAGGUAGUUGUUGUCUUGUAGAUCAAUUGUACAUAUAUCAGAGAUGUGCAUAUAACUUGGAUAUUUUUUUUAUAUUAUUUAUGUGUACAUAGACUCUACAGUAAUUAGUUUUUAUACUCCCUUACAUGGCUUAUCAAUAAUAUCUUAGUAUGAGUGUAGUAAAUUCUCAUCUGACAGUAUGUAUUUAAUUCUUUUGAAUGCUUUUAUAAUACCCUGUAAUUUAGUGAUGGGAAAAAGAUGUUACUUAAAAUUGGGGCUUAUAUCUGAGGAUUUUUUAUUUUUCCUAUUUGCAAAGAAUACAUUUUGUUUAUUGAUUAAACAUCAUAUUCAAAGGGGAGUAACUCAAAUUUGAGUUCUUCAAUUACAAACGAAUAAAGAGUUAUUCCCCUUUUUGUAAUAUUUUUUAGAUAAAGUUUCAUCUUAGAGCUGGUUUUUGACCCCUGACAUGUUUUUCUCUGAAAGUUAAUUGAAUAUCCGUAAAUAUAAUUAUAAGAUUUUAAAAAAUGCCCUUAAUAAGAAUAUUAUUGGUGGAUUUAGCACAUUUCUUUAUAUUGAUCAUGUAAAUAGAAAACUCGUGUUUAUGUAAAUAGUUUUUGAACAAUAUUGUAACUAAGUAAAAGUGUACUGCUUUUUUUUCUCCAAAAUUUUUUUUUUUCUGUUUUUUUACAUUAACCAUGAAAUACAUAAUACUUAUAUACACAUGAUUUUUGGUGAGUUGUAGCAAGCUGUAGAUAGAACUCAAUAAAAGUGAUAUUU
rnacentral:sRNA from 1 species